CUGGAUUAGGCCCUGGUUUGCGCGACCUCUGCGGUUUUAUGCCUUGCAGGAGUAAUUGCGUUUUGCGAAAGUUAGAGCAAGGGUUGAGUCGUCUAGGUUUCUUAAUUUCGAUGUCAGAGUGUUAAUAGACGUGGUGGGUCCUCUGGUGCGAAAUUCCGGAUUUCCUUGGGUCUUCCGGUAGGAGCUGUAAUCAAUUGUGCUGACAACACAGGAGCCAAAAACCUGUAUAUCAUCUCCGUGAAGGGGAUCAAGGGACGGCUGAACAGACUUCCCGCUGCUGGUGUGGGUGACAUGGUGAUGGCCACAGUCAAGAAAGGCAAACCAGAGCUCAGAAAAAAGGUACAUCCAGCAGUGGUCAUUCGACAACGAAAGUCAUACCGUAGAAAAGAUGGCGUGUUUCUUUAUUUUGAAGAUAAUGCAGGAGUCAUAGUGAACAAUAAAGGCGAGAUGAAAGGUUCUGCCAUUACAGGACCAGUAGCAAAGGAGUGUGCAGACUUGUGGCCCCGGAUUGCAUCCAAUGCUGGCAGCAUUGCAUGAUUCUCCAGUAUAUUUGUAAAAAAUAAAAAAAAAAACUAAACCCAUUAAAAA
rnacentral:lncRNA from 1 species